GGGCCUGUAGAUCAGUGGAAGUUUUGAACCAUGAUUCAUGAUUCAUAUCCAAGAUCGCUUGACUUGCACUCAAGAGGUCACGGGUUCAAGUCCCGUCAGGUCCA
rnacentral:tRNA from 1 species